rnacentral:rRNA from 1 species
ACGGCUCAGUAACACGUGGAUAACAUGCCCUAAGGUGGGGGAUAAUCUCGGGAAACUGAGGGUAAUACCCCAUAGGUCUGAUAUGCUGGAAUGCUUUCAGGCCGAAAACUCCGGUGCCUUAGGAUUGGUCUGCGGUCUAUCAGGCUGUAGUGGGUGUAACGGACCCACUAGCCCGUGACGGAUAUGGGCCUUGAGAGAGGGAGCCCAGAGAUGGACUCUGAGACAUGAGUCCAGGCCCUACGGGGCGCAGCAGUCGCGAAAACUUCGCAAUGGGGGCAACCCCGACGAGGGAAUUCCAAGUGCCAGCACUUUGUGUUGGCUGUUCUCCUGUCUAAAAAACAGGAGGAGUAAGGGGCGGGUAAGACGGGUGCCAGCCGCCGCGGUAAUACCCGCGCCCCAAGUGGUGGUCGAUAUUAUUGAGCCUAAAACGUCCGUAGCCGGUCUUCUAAAUCCUUGGGUAAAUCGGGCAGCUUAACUGUCCGAAUUCCGGGGAGACUGGGAGACUUGGGACCGGGAGAGGUCAGAGGUACUUCUGGGGUAGGGGUAAAAUCCUGUAAUCCUGGAAGGACCACCGGUGGCGAAGGCGUCUGACUAGAACGGAUCCGACGGUGAGGGACGAAGCCCUGGGGCGCAAACGGGAUUAGAUACCCCGGUAGUCCAGGGUGUAAACGCUGCGGGCUUGGUGUUGGGGGUCCUUAGUGGGCGCCCAGUGCCGGAGAGAAGUUGUUAAGCCUGCUGCUUGGGGAGUAUGUCCGCAAGGA